rnacentral:rRNA from 1 species
AAACUUAAAUGAAUUGACGGGAGGCGCACAACCAGUGGAGCAUGUGGUUCAAUUCGAUACGAAGCGAUGAACCUUACCCGGGUUUGAAAUGUACCUGCACGGCCCCCAGAAACGGGGCAAGCCUUAGAGGGUGGUACACAGCUGUUGCAUGGCUGUCGUCAGCUCGUGACGUGAGUUGUUCUCUUAAGUGAGGUAACGAGCGCAACCCCCAUUCUGUGUUACUAUGUCACAGAAGACUGCCCAGCAUUAUUUUGUUGGGAGGAAGGAGGGGACGACGUCAAGUCAUCAUGAUGCUUAUAUCCGGGGCUACACACAUCCUACAAUGGGUGGUACAGAGGGUCGCAAUACCGCGAGGUGGAGCUAAUCCUUAAAACCUCCCUCAGUUGGGAUUGCAGGCUGAAACUCGCCUGCAUGAACUUGGAAUUGGUAGUAAUCGCAAAUCAGCAGAUUGCGGUGAAUACGUUCUCGCCUCUU